rnacentral:rRNA from 1 species
CGGACGGGUGAGUAAUGUCUGGGAAACUGCCCGAUGGAGGGGGAUAACUACUGGAAACGGUAGCUAAUACCGCAUAACGUCGCAAGACCAAAGAGGGGGACCUUAGGGCCUCUUGCCAUCGGAUGUGCCCAGAUGGGAUUAGCUAGUAGGUGGGGUAAUGGCUCACCUAGGCGACGAUCCCUAGCUGGUCUGAGAGGAUGACCAGCCACACCGGAACUGAGACACGGUCCAG